GUAGGUGGCAGGCGUUGUCCGGAAUUAUUGGGCGUAAAGCGCGCGCAGGUGGUUCUUUAAGUCUGAUGUGAAAGCCCCCGGGCUCAACCGGGGAGGGUCAUUGGAAACUGGGGAACUUGAGUGCAGGAGAGGAAAGUGGAAUUCCACGUGUAGCGGUGAAAUGCGUAGAUAUGUGGAGGAACACCAGUGGCGAAGGCGACUUUCUGGCCUGUAACUGACACUGAGGCGCGAAAGCGUGGGGAGCAAACAGGAUUAGAUACCCUGGUAGUCCACGCCGUAAACGAUGAGUGCUAAGUGUUGGGGGGUUUCCGCCCCUCAGUGCUGCAGCUAACGCAUUAAGCACUCCGCCUGGGGAGUACGGUCGCAAAGACUG
rnacentral:rRNA from 1 species